rnacentral:misc_RNA from 1 species
ACAAACUUGGUCAUUUAGAGGAAGUAAAAGUCGUAACAAGGUUUCCGUAGGUGAACCUGCGGAAGGAUCAUUAUUGAAUUUAACUUGAUCAAGUUGUGCUGGUCUUUAGGGACAAGUGCACGCUUGAUUCAAUGUUAUUUUAACCACCUGUGCACCUUUUGUAGACUUGGAAUAUCUAUCGAUUAAAUAUCGGAUGAAAGGAUUGCUAAAGUUUCUAUCCUUUAAAUUUCUCAAGUCUAUGUUUUUCAUAUACACUUGUAAUAACAAAACUAUUGGGAUGAUAAUAAUAAUAUAAUACAACUUUCAACAACGGAUCUCUUGGCUCUCGCAUCGAUGAAGAACGCAGC